GCUCCUCCAGGAAACCCCUGUUUCCUGUUGCGGGGCAGCAGCAACACAUAACUCAACAAUUCUUCCCUCACCCUGUCAGGCUCACCUCACCUUGCAGAGCCUUGAAAUUGAAGAAGACACUUUCCAUCUAGAGGAAGACCUCAAACAUGCUUCUCUCCAGCCUUCUGAAGGUGGUCAUGGCUUCAUUGUGGCUAGGAUCCAGUAUUGCCCAGAAGGUAACUCAAGACCAACCAGUAAUAUUAGUGCAGGAGAAGGAGGUUGUGACCCUGGAUUGCAUAUAUGACACAAAUGAGUUCAGUUAUAGUCUAUACUGGUACAAGCAGCCCAGCAGUGGGGCGAUGAUUCUCCUUAUUCGUCAGGACUCUUAUAACCAGCAAAAUACAACAGAAGGUCGCUACUCACUGAAUUUCCAGAAGGCAAACAAAUCCAUCAAACUUGCCAUCUCAGCUUCACAGCUGGAGGACUCUGCAGUGUAUUUCUGUGCACUGAGUGAGCCCACAGUGAGAGGCGUGUUGGAGGCAGGUAUACCAAAACCCGGGGCUCUGCUUGAUACAUCUGCCUGCUAUAGGGACCAGGGCAGGGAAUUGCCUUCACAGACAGGAACUGGUUAGGGCUGUGGCAGCACAGGUGUAGGGUUAGAGGGAAAACACUCCUUCUAAGAACAUAUUUCUCUGGGUUCGUAGACCAGGUCUAGAGCUAUCAUUCAUCAAAAACAACCUUAUCCCUGAAAAUUUGGGUUCAAAUUUUUUAUUGAAGACAAAAAAUAGCCACAUAAAAUCCUUGCCAUUUAGUGAUUAGAAUGAGCUAGAAGAAUUGACUAAG